GGGGUGGUCAAAUGAUAAAGAGCGUCCGCCUCGGAUGCGAAAGAUCGUGGGUUCAAUCCCCGGCCGAGUCA